GCAGGCCCCGCCCAGUUAAAAAAAGUGUAUAAUGUUAUAACGGUUUGACAAAUUAGCAAUAACGAAACGAUGAGUCAAAUAGUGGUUUCCAGGUGUGUUCAGCUUAACGUCUUAGCAAUUGUGUAAGGUCUUUGAGGUUAGACAGACAACGGAAGAUAAAACGGAAUGUUAUAAUUACAAUCUUAGAAAAACUAAAACUUCUCGAAAAGUAUUACGUUUCUCUUAGAUUUUAUUUGUAGGAGGAAAAUAGAAAACAGAAAAAUCAUAGCUGUGUGAAGCGAAACCAACUUUGUGAGUUUUAUAUUUGCUUUUUUCUUUUUUGCUUGAGAGAGGAGUUCAGAAAUAACGGCCACACCGUUCCAUUUGCUGCAGACUUUGCAAGCAGUCACUCAGGUGAAAACAAGAAUAAUAGAUUGCUUUGACAGAAACUUGAACAUAAACGUCUCCAAGAAUCAAAUGUGGAGUGGUAUUGUUCCAUAGGCCUUCCCACACUUCGCCAAACUGACCAGAUCCUAAUCGCUUCAGAAGUUGUAUGGAGCUGCGGUCGAUCUCCCACUGGUCCACAGUUUUAUAUGACAAGCCAAUUGGAGCUGGG